AAGCGAAAUCGAAAUACUAUGGCUAACUAUCACGAACACGGUAAUUUAUGCCAAGCAGAACGGUUUCGACAUUAAUCAGAGCGUUACUAGUUAACCGAGUUUUUCUUUCUAUUCUUCCUUCAUCCUUUCUUCUUUUUCUACCAUCACUUUCUUCGAUCAAAUCUCACGCAUAUAUAGAAUAUCUUUAAAAAUCACUUUGCUCGUCUAAAAUCCUUGGAAAUUCGUAACAAAUAUUUCCUUUCGAAAAUGUACAAUUUACAAAAAGUAUUUAAAUAGUUAAAGAGUAACCUUCCCUAUCGUUGAACGUAAAUCGAAAUGUAUCACGACUCCGGAAAUAUAUUGGCUCAAAAUAUUCCAAUCAAAUAAAAUAAUUAACAAUAAAAAUAUGCAUGCCGAUACUUAAAUUCCGAAUAUAUCAUUUUACUAGAACAAUAAUUUAAUUUUUUUCAAUCUAUCAUACGAGAAUUUAAGUACGUAAAACAUUCAGAUUUUAAUAAAAGAUAGACGAAACUAUAUUCUUUUUAGACUUUUGAGGGUGAAUUUUAUCGCCUCGAAAAAACCCUUAUUUUUAUCAUACCAAGAUAAGCGUUCGAAUAAUGAGGAUAUUGUACUGGGCGUUUAAGAUGGAAAAUUCGUCUGCCGAAACGACAAAAUGCCAGCACAUAAGUUAACCGAGAGAGCAAGUGGUUCCCUUCUCCCGCCCCUUCCCCUCCCGUCGUUUUAACGGUGGUUUCGCUCAGAAAUGCAUGAUAUUCUAAUGGACGUCGUAAAAUGAAACGGCGGCGCGCUUUUGUUGCUCGCCGGAUAUCCUCCAGAGUCGAAACUUUCUGGCAAAGGGCAUUGGCAGGCAGAAGUUUCUCCUCCCACCCCAAGGGGAGGAGGGAGGGAUGACUUUCGAUGAACAUUGUAUUCCUCCCCAUAGGGAAAUCGAUCGUCCACGCGACAGGAUUAAUUGCUAAUUAUUCGGUUAUUCUCGGAUGCCGCGCGAUUCCGCGCGAAAUAUCGAUGUGAUUAUCGCCGUUGAAACGAUAACCGACGGGGAAAUGGCGCGAGGCGAACGAACUUGGAAUAAUCGGAAUAGUGGAGUAAGAAAAAGAAGAAAAAUAUUGAAUCAGGAAGUUGGAAUUUCGAUUUGAAAAAGCAAUUUUACUUUUUCCGUAUAAAAGUUUACAACGAAACGUUUUUAACGGAAAGAAAAAAUAUCGGGGAUAUCGGUGUUAAAGUUUGCAAAAGAAUUUUAUUAUACGGGUAAAAGGUGUGAUUUGAAUCAUCUUUGAAUUGGAUCUUCAGCCAUGUACGAAAAUGUGCGAUAAGCAAGUUGAGGAAAUCAGUGAUAAGAACGAAAAGAGGGGCCACAGGUUGAAUCAGCGAUUUGCGAAUUCUUGCGGAUCGAUCUCGAUGCAAAUAGGGGUUAUUGACUUAUGGAGCGUUUAACACGCCGCGACAGGAAGCGAAAAUUGAGACGACGUAUAUUCACCGAGUUGGCGGCAAAGUGGCAGGUUUCGAGGGAGAGAAUCGUCGACACGGGGUCGAAAGGAGAAUCGCUAGACCAGAGACGCCAAACCGUAGUCAAGGGUCGAAAGAGCAGAAGAGUAUUGAUCGUUUGCUUCAUUCCCAACUACUUUUAAGCGAAAGGAUAGAUUUCUUUCAUUUGCAAUUAUUCUUUAUCUUUUAAUUUCUUAAUUCGUUUGAUUUAAUGUAAUGUAAAGAAGGAUUAUGAAAAUUGUAUUUCAGUGAGAGAAAAAAAAAAAUAGAAAAAAGAUAAGAAUUUAAUAAAAUUAAAAAUAGUAAAGAUAGAAUAAAAAAUUCUAUAGUAUAAUUGACACGUAGUAUGUAUGUACCAUAUGUCUGUAUUGUAUGAAUGUCUUUUUAAUAGGACUGCAAUUAGACGACACGUAGACGGAACGUGGAUAAUUUGAAAGUGUUGUUCUAAAUGGAAAAAGAAACGGAAGAAAAGAAGAUUUUUAUUUUACAUCUACAAACAGAGAAUAUUUCUAACCAUAUUGAAAAUAUCUAUCAAGUUUCAUUAAAAAUAAUAUUUAGUUUAAAAUAUAUUAUAUCUUUUUUUUUUAUAAAUGUGAUUAUUGCCUCUUAUUUAAUUUUAUUAUGAAUUUUAGAAAUUCCUAGAAAAACAAAAAGACUCAUCAUUCCUAAUACAUAACGUAGAUUACGUUUUUAUAUUAUUAAUUGUAAAAUCUUAUUUAAUUCUUUAUAGAGUUCUUUUCUCACUGAAAUGACCAAAUAAAAACCUAUAUAUCAUAAGGGAAAUAAUAUUUAUAUCUUAUGUGAAAAAGAUAUUGUUUGUUUUUACGCUUUAAAAAUUCACUUGUAAAAGAUCCAUCUUCAACAUUCCUCUAAUCCCUCUUUUUUCUCAUACAUAAUCGAAUCAGACACAUUCUUCACACUUUUAAAUUAUCAAAGGUUUGAAAACUAAUUUCUUCAGUCUGCCGAGUAAUUUUUAUUCUUUUCAUUUGCCCGCCACCCCCACUUUUCUACCGGUUUGGCGCAAUUCCUCGUGUUAUCGAACGAAACGCUGUAAUCUGGUUUACGCAUGCGCGAUAACGAAAGUCGAAACUAGUUGCAACGAUAUGCCGGCUCAUUUUACAGAUCACAGAGCGCCGGUAAACAUCGCGAUCUGAGCAGUGGCGUGUAGUUAAGAACAGGCGAUUAGAUCUAACGACAAAUUUUGGUCACGUGCAUUUUGUCACACGUUUUCUCCUUUUCCCGCCAAAUGUCGAUCGUAAAAAUUACCGAUGUGCAUCGUAAAUGCGCACGAGGACACCGCAUUGCGCAAACUAUAGUGAGGAUUGAACGAAUUAUUUAAAUCUGUGACGGGACCGCGCGUUUCGUGACGCGGAUCUAUGUUUCGUGUUCGCUUGACAGGUUCUUUCGUGACACCGAUAAUUUGUGAUGGAUCUAUCCCUUUCCUGUUGCCCUCACUCUCACUCACCCUCGUUCCUUUUUGUUUCGAUCUGUGUUCCACAUUCGCUAACUCGACGAGUCUUGGUCGAGAGGUUAGAAACUGGAGAACGAAGAUUAUUUUUGUAGCUUGAUGGAAUGGUGUUGAUUCUAUAAUAGAUUGCAUUUGAUAUAAAAUGUUGAUCUCAAAGUAGUUAAAGAUGUUUGUGAUAAAAUUUUUUAUAUCUUUUUUUAUAAUCUUGAAUUUAAUUUAAGAUCCAGGAUGUCAAAGUUAAAAAGUAAAAAAAGUGUUGCGGAUUAAAAUGUUGAUGAAAAAUAAUUUUUUAUAUAAAUUUUAAAAAUAAUUACGAAUCAUUGAUAAAUCUCAUUUAUAAAAAUUUUUUCGAUGUCUGAUAAUAAAGAAAUGUUCGCUCGCGUAUAUAUGUAUUUGACUGCGAGAUAACCACAUUUUAAUUAAAAGAACCGAGAUAUAUGAUUUUAUCGUUGCAAAUGUGUAGGUUGCACAGAAUUCUUUCGAAAGACACUCACUUUCUCAUUCACUGUAAUCAAUAGAGAAGUUAAGCACGCAGACCUCUCGAAAAAAUGGAGGAGUAACUAUCUUUAAUUAAUGGAGCCUAUUUAACUUAUCGACAGUAGCGAGUUCAUUAAGUCUAUUAGCAAUUUAAUUUUUUUGAUUUGAAAAUAAAUUGAAAAGAAAAAAAUUUGUUUCUUCUUUUUUUUUUAUUAACGAAAUUUUUUUCUUUUUUUUCUUUUUAAUUUAGAUACAUUUACAGUAUCUUAUUUUCUUAUUAAAAAAAGUUAUUACAUUGUAACAAGAAAUUAUAAUUUAUAAGAAUAGCAUGUUACAAAGAUUUUAAUCACGUAAUCCGAACUAGAAAAAAAUGAGAAUAUAAGAAAAGGUUACUCGUUGAAAGUCAGUUCAAUGAAUUCUCACGAUCGAGUGUAUCGAGUAUAUUCAUGGACAUUAAUCUAAAGUAAUUUAACUUAAAAUUAACCACUCUACGUAAUAUUAUUUAAUUUGUUUAUUCAUAUUUGAAACAAUAUCCACACAUUUGUAAAAUUUACCACGUGUUUAGUAAUCCGUCCCAUAAUGCCGUCUUAAAAAAAUAAUUAUGAAAUAAGUAAGAAAGAUAUUCGAUGAAAAAGAAUAUUUUCAAUUGUCGAACAAACGAGUGUAAUGGAGCCGUCGAAAGGCGCGAAGAAGCGAACAGUUUUAACCGGAAGGCCUCGAAUUGCGAGUGGAAAUGCGGUCGUUGAAGAUGAGAACGGAGUUUCGUCGAAUCGAAACGGCGAAGAUGCUCGUGAUUCCGGCUUGUCUUCCGAGUGUUCGACACCUACAGUUGGUUCACCGGUACCAAGGCAACGAAAAGCCACGAGCAAUCCGAUUAAUAUCGGUGAUAACUCGAUGAAACCACGCGCCACGAUUCAGGCUGGAAGGUAGAUUCAUCUCUUAAAACAAUGGUCGAUUAUAAGUUUUGUGACUCAUUGAUUGAAAUUAAAAUAAAAAUACAAUGUUAUUUUUUCGAAAUAAAGAUAUAAAACAAAUAUCUUGGAUUCUUUGUUUGAAAAAUAAAUGUUUUACUUAGCAUUGUGAAAAAAAAAAAUAAAA